CUUUCCCAGUUUCUCACAUUUCUCCUAAUUUGGUCUUGACUCUUUCAAUCAAGCUCCUCGCGUUGGGUUUGAACUUGGGGUUUUGAGCAUUCGAUCAAAUUUUUACUUCAGAGUUGGACUAAUCAGUUGAAAUGCCAUAUUAGUAUUGAGCACGUUGAUAAAGGUCCAAUUCAUGACGGAAUGGUUACUUUCUCUUUCGAAGAAUCAACAUGUUUUAUUUUGACCUUCUAAAGGUGAGAUUUUGGGAGCAGUAGUUAUCAUGGUCAACAAGUUUAGUUCUGCUAAUCCAAAGGCCAAGACGCCAACUUCUUUGUCUCCAAUUCAUUGCAAUUCCAAAAAUGGAGAAUAAAAAACUUCUGGUGAAGUGGUGAUGUUACUCCCGAUAAUUUGAGUCCGUCCAAUAGUGAUGGUGCCGCGAGAUUCUCCGAGACAAAAGUGUAAAGUGAGCCUUUUAACAUCACUGAUUAUUGUAGGUGUUAAUUAUUUUAUAGAGAUUCCCUAGAAUUGCAUGCAAGGUGUACUUUAGUCUAUUUCUCU